UGUGUGUGUGUGUGUGUAUGGGGGAUGCAGCGAGUGUUUGCACAGCCACUGUGGUGUAUAUCUGUAUACAUGACAUAUGUAUAGGGGUUGUAGAGUGUGUGUGUGUGUUUAGGGAAUGUAGUGUGUUUUUGGAGUAAUGGGGAUCUAGUGUGUGCAUAGAUGAUGCAGUGUGUAUGUCAGGAAUGUAGUGUGUGUAAGUGGUGCAGUGUGUACCUAAAGACAAUCUAGUGUCUGUAUGGGGAGGAUCUGGAGUGUGUAUAGAGGAUGUAGUGUAGUGUAUGUAUAAAGUUGUGGAGUGUGUAAGGUGUGUGAGAGGUUGUGUGUGUAGUGGUGCAGUCUGUGUGAGGGGUCUAGUGUUUGUUGGAGUGCACUGUGUGAGCGAUGCGGUGUGUGUGAGGGCUGAUGGGUGUGAGGGAUCUAUGCUGUGUGUGGGUGGGUUGAAUGCAAACAAAUGUAUUAAAAAAAAUAAUGAUUUAAAAAAAAAAGGAAAGAAAACAAAGCUUUAUGUACCCCCACCCUUCUUCUUACCUUGGGUCAGGGAGGGGGACUUACCCAAUGGCCAGUCUGGGCCUGCUGUACAGUUUGGUGGAGGUGGGAUGAUUGGUAUGGGUUGUUAUUCAGGGUUUGGACUAGGCCUCUUAGAUCCAGUGAGUUGUCAUCUUAAUGGUACAGGAUACAAGGACAUUUUAUACAAGUGGGUGCUUCCAACUUUGUAGCAACAGUUUGGGGAUGGCACUUUUCUGUUCCAGUAUGGCUAUAACCCUGAGCACAAUUCGAG